rnacentral:rRNA from 1 species
AUGCUCUAUUGAGUAAAGAUUUAUCGCCUUAUGAUGAGCCUGCGUUAGAUUAGUUAGUUGGUAGGGUAACGGCCUACCAAGGCGACGAUCUAUAGCCGGGUUGAGAGACUGGCCGGCCACAUUGGGACUGAGACACGGCCCAGACUCCUACGGGAGGCAGCAGCGAAGAAUCUUCCGCAAUGGACGCAAGUCUGACGGAGCGACGCCGCGUGAACGAUGAAGGCCUUACAGGUUGUAAAGUUCUUUUAUAGAAGACGAAUGUUAUGCGUAGGCAUAACUGACGGUAUUCUAUGAAUAAGGUCCGGCUAACUACGUGCCAGCAGCCGCGGUAAUACGUAGGGACCGAGCGUUGUUCGGACUUAUUGGGCGUAAAGGGUACGUAGGCGGUCUAAUAAGUCAGAUGUGAAACCCUCGGGCUCAUCCUGAGGCCUGCGUCUGAUACUGUUAGGCUAGAGUUACGGAGAGGAAGUCGGAAUUCCUGGUGUAGGGGUGAAAUCUAUAGAUAUCAGGAAGAACAUCGGUUGCGAAGGCGGACUUCUGGACGUUAACUGACGCUGAGGUACGAAAGUUAGGGUAGCAAACAGGAUUAGAGACCCUGGUAGUCCUAACUGUAAACGUUGUAUACUAGGUGGUGGCGUUUUUGAUCGCGUCACUGCCGGAGCUAACGCAUUAAGUAUACCGCCUGGGGAGUAUGCCGGCAACGGUGAAACUCAAAGGAAUUGACGGGGGCCCGCACAAGCAGUGGAGCAUGUUGUUUAAUUCGAUGAUACGCGAGGAACCUUACCAGGUCUUGACAUAUACCUGAAUGUUGUAGAGAUACAUCAGUCUUUCGGGACAGGUAUACAGGUGCUGCAUGGUUGUCGUCAGCUCGUGCCGUGAGGUGUUGGGUUAAGUCCCGCAACGAGCGCAACCCUUAUUCUUUGUUGCUAACGUGUUAUGGCGAGCACUCUAAGGAGACUGCCGGUGACAACCCGGAGGAAGCUGGGGAUGACGUCAAAUCAUCACGGCCCUUAUGACCUGGGCUACAAACGUGCUACAAUGGGCGGCACAAAGAGUUGCGAUACCGCGA